CUGCCACACCUGCACAACAAGAUGGGUUUUCAUCAUCUAACAGUAAUACUUUACAUUUCCAUAUGGAGAUCUCAAAGUGCUUUACAAGCAAUGAAUUAAGUCUUGCAGCAACCUGAUGCUGGCGACACAGUUUUGAGAUCAGCAGGAAGGUGUCUGGAGCAAGCUGAAGGCUAAGUGAUAGCUGUGGAGUGUGUGCAAGUGUUGAUCAAAUUAUUGCUGCAGUUGAUGAGACUGAACAUGUUGAUGGCUAUGCAGUCAGAUAACACAAUGCAAGAAACCAAAACAUAAAGAAACAAAGGAUAACCAGACAUGUCUGCUUUUCAUUCAACGAAUAGGGGCUGCUAACAGGGAGUUGCGCAAGGGAGUUCUCCAGGUGAAGGAGGAGCAAAUACAGCAUCUGUGGGUAUGCAGAGGCCCCACCACAGGAGCAGGCUCCAUUGUUCCAGAGUCAGUUGCUAGUUAUUAAAACAAGAUAAGUUGUAUUUAUUGCCUGAUUAUUGCAUGUUUUUUUGACAAUAUGAAUUUAAGACCAUA